AGCAAUGGGCUGUAGUUACAAAAGCAAUGUCUUCUGCCCCACGCGUAAAAGCAAGACCAGCCAAGAGAUGCUUUCUUGGUCUGUUUAUGAAGUUUCACCACCUGCAGAUCCUGCCUCCUCCUCUCAGCUGGGCUGAAGCCAUCCAGGGGCUCCUCACACGCUGUUUGCAUGAUGAUGCACCCCUCUCUGACCACAAAGACCAACUGAGUGCCAGGUCAGCCAUGAGCCACAGUGGUGUACCACUAUGCCUUCAGAAGGUGAUGACACAAAAGAUAGGCAAACACAUUGCCACUGCUGUUCACUAAUUACCAGGAAUGAGGACCAGCUGAAACUGGAGGAAAGCUAACGUAAAAGGAAGGAGAAAUUUAGAUAUGCAUCCAAAGAGACUGAGACCAAAGCCAGAGUGUUAUUGUCUGGCCAAUGCUCAUGGUUGAGGGCCAGGUUAUGAUUCAAAAAAUCAAUGAGCCUUGAGCAAAUUGCAUCUAAAAGAAAUCAAGGUGUGCAGUCAUGGCCAUGGGCCUCUGCUUCUGCAUUCUAAAAGCACUUGGGUACCCUGAUGGAGGAUGCACGUCACCCACAGGUCCUGGGCCACAACUAUAAGGCUCAGGCCGGCAUCUUAGACACUCUAGGGGAGGGGUUGUCCUCUGCUGAUGUCCAGAAAACCCACAGUGCCAUAAGCCUUCCUAGUCUGUGAAUAUGAAUACUUGUGGCAGGAUCUUCUGGGGUUCGGGAUGUUCAACUCUUCAUGACCAUAAAUAAUGACUAAUGGAGGAGGGAAAUGGGAAGGGUGUGAGCAAGGAGAAAAGUUAAGCAGUGAAAUAUGACAGUCUUUCUGGACUGCCAAGGAAAUGGGCAAGGAAACACCUCCAUUGGUGCUUUAACUGAAAAUAAUUUAGGUAACAGGAGCAAGUAAGUCUAUCCUUUAGAGAUUUCUCACACAGCUAUCAGUUGGAAAAAUAGGAACUUUCAAGGAGGAGCAGUUCAGAAGUUCUUGGUAUGAUGGCUUAUCAGCUUUGCUGCACUGGGGAAUCUAUCAGAGCCAGGAGAGCAAAAUGGAAACCCCCCAUCUGAUGAGGAAGUAUUCCAGAAAGUGAAGGAAUGGAGGUCAUCAUCCAGAGCAAGCGUGGUCAAGGUUUAGGUGUACACCACAUCACUUUGGUGAAAGUUUGAGAAGGCAGUGGUGUUAUCUUAAAGUGAUUUCCAUUGCAGGGGAGUAAUGGGCAGAGUUAUGUAGAUGAAUUUGAAAAUCAUUUUUAGAAGACUAAGGAUUCACCACUGAACAUAAGAAAUGAAUGCGUACCUUAGCCUGAAUUGCUCUGAUUGGCAUCACAGGGAACCAAAUGCUCUCAAGAGCAGUGGGCAGUGAAAAACUCCUGCAUAGAUGACCCCAGAGUCCCAGGGCAGCAUUCAGCUGAUACAGGUGGUUCAGAGAGAGUUUCUGAAGACAAGGCCACUGAAGUCCAGGAGAAACCAACAGCUGUGGGCCUCUGUAGGCUGGUGUGAGCUUGGCUACUGCGUGAGUCAAUACAUAUUUGGAUCUCAGGCUUGUAUGUCUGGCCAUCAGAAAUGACCUUCAUCCCAGUAUUUCCAACCUAAAUUGUACCUCCAGGAGGAAAUCUCAUGUUUUUAAGAUACAGCAGAAUUAAAUUAAAUCCAGGACAGCUGUUUCUGUCUGUCGAGGUCAAGCAGAUCUGUAUAAGGAUUUUCAUUCUAACUGUCCUACAUGGACAAUUCCGUUGGAAUGACCUCUCUAAAUUGUACUUUUUUUUUCCACUGCUGUAACUGGGAGGUCUCAGAACAGUAUAACUUGCAUUUUACCCCUGCAGGGUGUUUGCUUUACUAUUUUGAUUACUUGGCUGAUAAGAAAAUUACAGAAAUCUAAACAGUGAGGAGAACAAGGAUGAGGCCGCCCGUUGCUUUGAUAGUGUGGCCUUAACUGCAGUCAGAGGCAUCUACCCCCCACAAAGAGGAGCUCUGCUGAGUUUCCACAUGUCCACACAAGGAUGAGGUAACCAUCUGCUUCAGCUGCUCCAAAGCAAGAUGGCUUUGCCUGGAACAUUUAAUCAGUCACAUUUGAAGAGGGGUCACUCACUUGAAAAGCUUUUGAUGAACCUGUAAUAUAAGCCAACAAAGAAGCAAGCAUUUUUAAAUUAUUUGGAGCAGCAAGCAAGAUCCCAGUUUCAUAGCAACAACUCAGAUGAAGAACAUCUAUGGUCUCUUGGAAGAAGUUGUGCAGCUCAGAAAUACCACGACUAUCACUUUCUUCUGAUUAGAUAGAUUAUCUUAACAAAAAAUGUUAAUAUUACAACAUCCAUAUCAAUUGAAUAUGGUUUUCUAUUCUCUGCCCUGAUAGAUGAUGGUAUGUUCCCCAAAAGCCAGCCCAAAGUUAAGAUCUGUGCCUUCUGUUGUCUUUGAAACUGUUCAUUUCUGAAGAGCAGGAGAUACAAAUCCUCAAAUUCAACUUGAUUCAGAAUCCCAUGGUUUACAUAAAUAACACAAAGCCUGGACUUGUCCUUGCUGGAGGGGCUACCUAAGGGGUUUCCUUGGAUGUGUGUAGUCCCACCUGGCGCAGCUCAUGGAACAGAGGGAAAAUGGCAAGCAGUGAUAGUGGAGGUGGACAGGACACACAUGCUGGUAGACAUCAGUGUGAGAAGGGGAGCAGAAAAAGGACAUUAUCACUAGAAGAGAAUAGUGAGGGAGAAGGAGUGAGACAACAAGACUGUACAGGAGUACAGAGAUGGAAUAAAGCAGUGAGGAGGAUCCGGUUGCACCUCAGAAUAGAAGAGCAGCUAUCUCCACCAAAAGCAAAGGACGAUAAAAAGAUAUGAGAAGAUAAAGAAGGUAAGAACUAGUUGAUAAAUGUGUGCUUAUGAGAAAGGUUUUGACAUGCAGAAUCACUGACAGAUUUGUGGAAAGAUUACAGACUGUCUUGUACUACUAUCAAGUAGUACUAGCAUUUGAAAUGCAAGUAUUUCAGCUAAAAGAGGAGCUGCAAAGGUUGAGAGCAAGUGCACACUCCAUGUUGAGGAUAGGUGAUAAAAUUAGAAGUAACAGAAGAUAGGCAGUAAUGACUAGCAACAGGAUGGUUGUAAAAAAAAGAAAUCGGUAUUGCUAAGGUGAAAAAUAAUCUAGGAAGAAAAACAAAAAGGUUUGCUAAUCUGACUAAGGAAAUCUAGGGAUAAUAUAAGAUCCUCAGGAGCCAGACAACAGCAUGGAGGAAUUUGUCUUUCCCGGGUAAGGCAUAAAGCCUGCUAUAGCAGAGCCAUGGUGAAACAGCAAUACAUUGUGGAUAUUGAGGGGCACAUGCUCAUAAUAAAGAUAUGAAUAAAGGCAUAUCACUGA